rnacentral:misc_RNA from 1 species
GAUGAAGAACGCAGCGAAAUGCGAUAAGUAAUGUGAAUUGCAGAAUUCAGUGAAUCAUCGAAUCUUUGAACGCACCUUGGACCCUUUGGUAUUCCGAAGGGUAGGCUCGUUUGAGUGUCAUUGUACUCUCACACUUCUAAUUCCUUUCGGGAUUGGGAGCGGUGGACUUGGGUGUUGCUGCUUUAGUUGUGGCUCACCUCAAAUAAGUUAGUGCAACUCUUGGUUGGACAUAGUACGGCGUGAUAAGUGUCUUCGCCGGCGCCUCUGUAAGGAGGGUGGCCGAUCGGGAGCUCUGUGCUUCAAACCGUCUUCGGACAAUCUUUGACAACUUGACCUCAAAUCGAGUAGGACUACCCGCUGAACUUAAGCAUAUCAAUAAGCGGAGGA